CCUACGGGAGGCAGCAGUGGGGAAUAUUGGGCAAUGGGCGCAAGCCUGACCCAGCAACGCCGCGUGAAGGAAGAAGGCCCUCGGGUUGUAAACUUCUUUUAUAAGGGACGAAACAAAUGACGGUACCUGAUGAAUAAGCCACGGCUAACUACGUGCCAGCAGCCGCGGUAAUACGUAGGUGGCAAGCGUUAUCCGGAUUUACUGGGUGUAAAGGGAGUGUAGGCGGGAGGUCAAGUCAGACGUGAAAUUCCUGGGCUCAACCCUGGAACUGCGUUUGAAACCGUUCUUCUUGGGUGAUGGAGAGGCAGGCGGAAUUCCGUGUGUAGCGGUGAAAUGCGUAGAUAUACGGAGGAACACCAGUGGCGAAGGCGGCCUGCUGGACAUUAACUGACGCUGAGGCGCGAAAGCGUGGGGAGCAAACAGGAUUAGAUACCCGGGUAGUC
rnacentral:rRNA from 1 species